GACGAACGCUGGCGGCGUGCUUAACACAUGCAAGUCGAACGGAAAGGCCCUGCUUUUGUGGGGUGCUCGAGUGGCGAACGGGUGAGUAACACGUGAGUAACCUGCCCUUGACUUUGGGAUAACUUCAGGAAACUGGGGCUAAUACCGGAUAGGAGCUCCUGCUGCAUGGUGGGGGUUGGAAAGUUUCGGCGGUUGGGGAUGGACUCGCGGCUUAUCAGCUUGCUGGUGGGGUAGUGGCUUACCAAGGCUUUGACGGGUAGCCGGCCUGAGAGGGUGACCGGCCACAUUGGGCCUGAGAUACGGCCCAGACUCCUACGGGAGGCAGCAGUGGGGAAUAUUGCACAAUGGGCGGAAGCCUGAUGCAGCAACGCCGCGUGCGGGAUGACGGCCUUCGGGUUGUAAACCGCUUUCGCCUGUGACGAAGCGUGAGUGACGGUAAUGGGUAAAGAAGCACCGGCUAACUACGUG
rnacentral:rRNA from 1 species